GGUGGAGUGAUUUGUCUGGUUUAUUCCGAUAACGAACGAGACUCUGGCCUGCUAACUAGUGUUCAGAUCUUUACGUCUGCUUCGCUUCUUAGAGGGACAGGCGGCUUCCAGCCGCAUGAAAAAGAGCAAUAACAGGUCUGUGAUGCCCUUAGAUGUCCGGGGCUGCACGCGCGCUACACUGAAAGAAUCAGCGUGUACGUUACCUGGCUCGAAAGAGUCGGGUAAUCCGGUGAAAAUCUUUCGUGAUUGGGAUCGGGACUUGCAAUUAUUUCCCUUGAACGAGGAAUCCCUAGUAAGUGCGGGUCAUCAGCUCGCGCUGAUUACGUCCCUGCCCUUUGUAC
rnacentral:rRNA from 1 species